AAAUUGAAGAGUUUGAUCAUGGCUCAGAUUGAACGCUGGCGGCAGGCCUAACACAUGCAAGUCGAACGGUAGCACAGAGAGCUUGCUCUCGGGUGACGAGUGGCGGACGGGUGAGUAAUGUCUGGGAAACUGGCUGAUGGAGGGGGAUAACUACUGGAAACGGUAGCUAAGACCGCAUAACGUCGCAAGACCAAAGAGGGGGACCUUCGGGCCUCUUGCCAUCAGAUGUGCCCAGAUGGGAUUAGCUAGUAGGUGGGGUAACGGCUCACCUAGGCGACGAUCCCUAGCUGGUCUGAGAGGAUGACCAGCCACACUGGAACUGAGACACGGUCCAGACUCCUACGGGAGGCAGCAGUGGGGAAUAUUGCACAAUGGGCGCAAGCCUGAUGCAGCCAUGCCGCGUGUAUGAAGAAGGCCUUCGGGUUGUAAAGUACUUUCAGCGGGGAGGAAGGCGAUAAGGUUAAUAACCUUGUCGAUUGACGUUACCCGCAGAAGAAGCACCGGCUAACUCCGUGCCAGCAGCCGCGGUAAUACGGAGGGUGCAAGCGUUAAUCGGAAUUACUGGGCGUAAAGCGCACGCAGGCGGUCUGUCAAGUCGGAUGUGAAAUCCCCGGGCUCAACCUGGGAACUGCAUUCGAAACUGGCAGGCUAGAGUCUUGUAGAGGGGGGUAGAAUUCCAGGUGUAGCGGUGAAAUGCGUAGAGAUCUGGAGGAAUACCGGUGGCGAAGGCGGCCCCCUGGACAAAGACUGACGCUCAGGUGCGAAAGCGUGGGGAGCAAACAGGAUUAGAUACCCUGGUAGUCCACGCCGUAAACGAUGUCGACUUGGAGGUUGUGCCCUUGAGGCGUGGCUUCCGGAGCUAACGCGUUAAGUCGACCGCCUGGGGAGUACGGCCGCAAGGUUAAAACUCAAAUGAAUUGACGGGGGCCCGCACAAGCGGUGGAGCAUGUGGUUUAAUUCGAUGCAACGCGAAGAACCUUACCUACUCUUGACAUCCAGAGAACUUAGCAGAGAUGCUUUGGUGCCUUCGGGAACUCUGAGACAGGUGCUGCAUGGCUGUCGUCAGCUCGUGUUGUGAAAUGUUGGGUUAAGUCCCGCAACGAGCGCAACCCUUAUCCUUUGUUGCCAGCGGUUAGGCCGGGAACUCAAAGGAGACUGCCAGUGAUAAACUGGAGGAAGGUGGGGAUGACGUCAAGUCAUCAUGGCCCUUACGAGUAGGGCUACACACGUGCUACAAUGGCGCAUACAAAGAGAAGCGACCUCGCGAGAGCAAGCGGACCUCAUAAAGUGCGUCGUAGUCCGGAUUGGAGUCUGCAACUCGACUCCAUGAAGUCGGAAUCGCUAGUAAUCGUAGAUCAGAAUGCUACGGUGAAUACGUUCCCGGGCCUUGUACACACCGCCCGUCACACCAUGGGAGUGGGUUGCAAAAGAAGUAGGUAGCUUAACCUUCGGGAGGGCGCUUACCACUUUGUGAUUCAUGACUGGGGUGAAGUCGUAACAAGGUAACCGUAGGGGAACCUGCGGUUGGAUCACCUCCUUACCUUAAAGAA
rnacentral:rRNA from 1 species